AUGAUUUUUACACACCCCAAUGUAUGUCAUUAGAAUGUCUACCUUCUAGUAUGCUCGAAAGGGCAGAAAGAAACAAAAAUACAACUUUCAACAACGGAUCUCUUGGCUCUCCCAUCGAUGAAGAACGCAGCGAAAUGCGAUAAGUAAUGUGAAUUGCAGAAUUCAGUGAAUCAUCGAAUCUUUGAACGCACCUUGCACCCUUUGGUAUUCCGAAGGGUAUGCCUGUUUGAGUGUCAUUAAAUUCUCAACCAUGAUGGGGUUUUACUUCAUUUCAUGGCUUGGAUCUGAGGGUUGUGUCGGACUCCUGACGGAGGUCGACUCCCUUUAAAAGCAUUAGUGGGUUUGACCAUCGCGGAUACGCCUCGAUUUGAUAAUAUCUAUGUCGUCGCGCUGAAGCGGUAACCUGCUUCCUAACCGUCCCUCACACGGACAAUUCUUGACCAUUUGACCUCAAAUCAGGUAGGACUACCCGCUGA
rnacentral:rRNA from 1 species